ACACCAUGCUGUGGGCAUUUCUUGAGAAAUCCUUUGAAUCUCCCCCAAGUCUCAUAAAGAGACUCUGUCUCUUUUUGUUUGAAUAUCGAUAUGUCUUCCUUAAGUAG